CUGUGAAUCAUGAAUUCUGUGACUAAUGUAUCCAGACUUACACUGGUAGACCUUUCUUUUUGUUUCAGGAUUUCAAAUGCAUUUAAAUCAUGGAAUCAUAGAAUCAGAAUAUGCUGAGUUGGAAGGCAUACAUCAGGAUCAUCGAGUCCAACUCCUGCACAUUAACAGCUUUUAGUUGUCCAUGUCUCAAACAAGGAAUCAUCAGUAUCAUGUGUGAAUUGCCUUCCUAAAGGAACUAGCAACCUGAGUCAUCAGGAUAGAUAACAUACAAAAUCUGCUGACUCUGGGAAGAUUUGUGUCCUGACCCAGAACCUCAGCUGUUACACGUCCCCUGAGCUUCAGCCUGGAACUUCUGGGUCCUCCUGUACCAAGUGGAGUGGAUAACAAUGAAGACCUAAGAACCAUACACAACCUUGCCAUUCUACCACCAGAGAAGCAAAGAACCUGUCAAACCUGUUGAGCCAACUUUCAGCCAAGGGACACCUCCACGGGGCUAACAACAUUGAGGAGCAAGACUCUGGAGCCCACCACCAAGUCAUAUUGCCCUUACAUUCUUGUCACACCCAUGUACAUCUAGGAGAAGAUCUGGAAGAAAAAUGGCUCUGGAAACAGCAGAGAAUGUCUCAGUAACUUCAGUAGCAAAACCCCUUAUGUUCAUACUCUACCUCUAAUUAAAUAUUGAGAUCUCUGUUGAAAAUUGUAUCCUUUUCAAAUGCUAACAAGUGAUUACACAUGUAUAAGAACCUACAAGGAUAAUCAUGCAGGUGCUUUUUUUGGAAGAAUGAUGAGAGUCAUACUUUCAGCAACAGUGCUACGUUAACUUGCAAAUUAUUUGGUACAGAACAUGUGUAUCCCUAUGUUGGUCUAAAAAGGCCCUUACAAACAUUGAACAAUAUGGGAUCAUAAACAGUAACAAUCUUCCAAGAUUAGGUCUUUCACAGUUAAGGUUCAAAGGCUCUUCCACUGUGAAAAUGUUGUUGAAUCAUCAACCAUUUGCUGAACUUCCUGACAAAGCCUCUGCCUAGGGGAUAAAAAUCAAGCGAGGAAGAGUCUGUAGUUAAUCACACAAGCCUUUUUAAAGUUGCUGUGUGAUAAUAAUUAAUAUGUACUUAGCUCUUCAGUAGGUUUUGCUGCAGUCCUGGCUUUCUACCAUAUGUGAGGCUCUUUUUGUCUUGUCACAACUCCUUUGUUUUCCAGAGGGUUUUCCUAUAUAAUCACUUCUUUACAAGGAGGAUUAUUUUAUAGGCUCCUUUUGCCACAAUGUCAACAUUUCUAAUUUGAAGGGCUCGUAUCUUGUAAAUGCCAAGCAAAAUGCUAUGACUAUUACAUGUAUCUAAGGCUAAUUUUUUUAACAUUUGUUUAAAAAUCUCUGCUCCUCCAUUGCAUGUUUUGGCUCUACACAUGAAAAUGUGCACAGUCACAUUCAAACACAUAUUUGUGUAUGUUAUAUGUACCACCAAAGACAAACAAAUGGCAUUAACUUGUCCAGUCUUUCACCUGUCAUCAGUUUAAUGGCUAAGUCUAUUUUCAUGGUAGCACUGAAAGAAUAGGGCUCAGUAUUUGAAACCCACUGUGGGAGCCUGACACUGGCAAUGCAGGGAUAGUCACACUGUGAUGUCAGUGCAGAGCA
ensembl:lncRNA